CGUCAUGCAGCACAUCAGCCAGUGAAUGAAUAAUCCACUGUCAUUGUCCCAAUAAAGAUGAUUCAUUUGAAACCAUACACCAUGGAAUGAUUUCAGGAAAUAGGAAAACACAGUUCAGCGACAAGCAGAUUAGGUUCAUACGUUAAUUUGAGUUUGAACAAAACUGAAGCAAUACGACUGAACAAGAGACUUAAACUUUAGAGUUGCAAUGAUUUUCAGAGAAGGUUUAGUCACCGACAGCCUUUAUGUAUCGUGUUAUUACACGAGGUUCACAAUCGCCAGCUUUAUUUACAUAAAAGAGUGUCACUCAUUUCAUAUUUGCAACACAGAAUAUGCACAAGAACAUCUAUAGAUAUGUGAUUAUAGGUAUUUCUCCACUUUUACUCAGCUCAUAGCAGCAGUGAUUCAGAUGAGUUUCACAAUGGUGGGUUUCCCUGAGUUAAUGAAACAUGGGAUUUACAUCAAUUGUGCAACAAACACCAGAUAAAUAAGGGAAUCCUGCAAAGUGGCAGCAGACAUUUGAGGCAUCACAACUCAAGAGGGAUAAUCAACCAGACUGGUGUUAAGAGACGUAACGUGACAACAUGAAGACUGUGAUCGUGGCCCUUUUGGUAGUGCUGGUCGUCAGCCACAGUGAAGCUUUAAGGUGUAACUGUGCAGGCAAGGCUCCAUGUGCAUUCUCUCAGCAAAACUGCUAUGGUUUAAACCAAGUUUGUGCCAGGAUGACGUUUAACCCCCCUGGUUCCGGCUCCUUCAAGAGUUGCUAUAAUGCAAGAGCUUGUGCAAACCUGAUUAGUUCUGGGAAAGCGUCUGGUAGAUGCUGCAGCAGUGACCUGUGCAACUGAUCAGUGAACGUCAUGCAGCACAUGUGCCAGUGAAUGAAUAAUCCACUGCCAUUGUCCUAAUAAAGAUGAUGCAUUUGAAACCUUGGUCCAUUUUCACCUUUAAUAGUUCACAUUUUCUUCAAACCUACGUUGAGUAAGUGAUGAUGACACCGCAGAAUGCUUUAAGGACAGAUUGAUUUAGAAAAAAUAAAUGAAAGGAUUUCUCUGUCA